rnacentral:rRNA from 1 species
UACGAAGGGGGCGAGCGUUGUUCGGAAUUACUGGGCGUAAAGGGCGCGUAGGCUGCCGAUCAAGUCAGAUGUGAAAGUCCUGGGCUUAACCUGGGGACUGCAUUUGAUACUGAUUGGCUUGAAUGCAGGAGAGGAUAGCGGAAUUCCCAGUGUAGAGGUGAAAUUCGUAGAUAUUGGGUAGAACACCGGUGGCGAAGGCGGCUAUCUGGACUGUGAUUGACGCUGAGGCGCGAAAGCGUGGGGAGCAAACAGG